rnacentral:siRNA from 1 species
AUGUAAAGAAUCUGUGCAGAUUGU